AUGUCAUCUAUGAUAUAUGAGCUUGUGCACUUCCUUAGCAAAUUUUUUGUGAUCUACCUUGAUGGCAUAUUCAUACAUCAUGGUCAUAUUGUCCACCAUCAAUUGCAUGAUAACAUACACAUGUUGAGCAUCCAUUGCCAUAUUCAUGCUAUUGAUAAACCGUCUCACUAUGAUAUCAUUUUGCACUAUGGUUGCAUUGAUCAUAUUUACAACACAUUUGUGUGCACAAUGAUUGCAUGUCCUCCCAUGAAUGCUUUGCAUCUCAUUCUAGAUCAUCUUGAUGAGCUUCAUGCGCUUUGUCACGACCACUCUUGCCGCACGGACUCAUCUUUACAUGAUGGACACUUUGUGUGCGCUAACCAUUGUAUUUCCGAGUGUUGCUUGUGUUUGCUCUUUUUGCAUGUCUAUCACUCCGGUGACACCUUGGACUACUUGGAUUACGCCAUGUAUUCAACUUCGUCCAAUUACAAGUCCAUCUAUGACAACCGUUUCCAUGGUGCUGAGGAUCAUGAUCCGAGGUCGGAUCUUUCCCAAGGGGGGGAGAUGAUGUGGAGCAUCCCACGGUCAUCCCCAUGUACACUCUGA
rnacentral:rRNA from 1 species